UACGUAGGGGGCAAGCGUUGCUCGGAAUUACUGGGCGUAAAGGGAGUGCAGGCGGCCUGUUAAGUCACAGAUGAAAUCCCGAGGCUUAACUUCGGAAUGGUCUGUGAUACUGGCGGGCUUGAGGCUGGUUGAGGAGAGCGGAAUUCCCGGUGGAGCGGUGAAAUGCGUAGAUAUCGGGAGGAACACCAGAGGCGAAGGCGGCUCUCUAAACUAGUCCUGACGCUGAGACUCGAAAGCUAGGGGAG
rnacentral:rRNA from 1 species